CCCGGGCCUUGUACACACCGCCCGUCACACCACGAAAGUCGGCAACACCCGAAGCCGGUGGCCUAACCCGCAAGGGAGGGAGCCGUCGAAGGUGGGGUCGAUGAUUGGGGUG
rnacentral:rRNA from 1 species